AGUAACUGCGAGUGAAGAGGGAAAAGCUCAAAUUUAAAAUCUGGCAGCCUCAGGUUGUCCGAGUUGUAAUUUAGAGAAGUGUUACCCGUGCUGGACCGUGUACAAGUCUCCUGGAAUGGAGCGUCAUAGAGGGUGAGAAUCCCGUCUUUGAUACGGACUACCAGUGCAUUGUGGUGCGCUCUCGAAGAGUCGCGUUGUUUGGGAAUGCAGCGCAAAAUGGGUGGUAAAUUCCAUCUAAAGCUAAAUAUUGGCGAGAGACCGAUAGCGAACAAGUACCGUGAGGGAAAGAUGAAAAGAACUUUGGAAAGAGAGUUAAACAGUACGUGAAAUUGCUGAAAGGGAAACGCUUGAAGUCAGUCGCGUUGGCCGGGGAUCAGCCUUGCUUUUGUGAGGUGUACUUCCUGGUUAACGGGUCAGCAUCAGUUUCGAUCGUUGGAAAAGGGUUUGAGGAAUGUGGCAACCUCGGUUGUGUUAUAGCCUUUUAUCGUAUACAGCGGUUGGGACUGAGGAACUCAGCACCCUCUGGUGUGCUCAGGAUGCUGGCAUAAUGGCUUUAAGCGACCCGUCUUGAAACACGGACCAAGGAGUCUAACAUGCUUGCGAGUGUUUGGGUGGUAAACUCGAGCGCGUAAUGAAAGUGAAAGUUGGGAUCUCUGUCGUGGAGAGCACUGACGCCCGGACCUGAUGUUUACUGACGGAUCUGCGGUAGAGCAAGUAUGUUGGGACCCGAAAGAUGGUGAACUAUGCCUGAAUAGGGUGAAGCCAGAGGAAACUCUGGUGGAGGCUCGUAGCGAUUCUGACGUGCAAAUCGAUCGUCGAAUU
rnacentral:rRNA from 1 species